UCACAUGUGAAUGGGACCAGCGAGAUAGCACAGGCUGAGGGAGUGACACAGUGGCAGCUUGGUUCGUUCCUGCAGCAGAUUUGCAUUUCAGCAUCUUCCUGUGCUGUGUCAUUUGUGGGCUGAGGCUCCUGCGAAGAUCAGUGUCUCCUCAUAGGAGCCCAAGUGAGGAAACAACUGGUUAUCGAGGCAUUUGCACAGGCCUCCUCCUCGGCCUACUACGACUUCAGCAGUCUUUGGGCAGUGGGGACCUGGACCGACAAGGCCACCCACCUCAGGCCACUCUGGCUUUGGCUGGAGUGAGCCGGACUGGACUCAUUCCUGGUCUCCUGGGGUCAUUGCUGCUCCUGCCUGAGACCCUGUCCCUUGACCCGCGACUAUGCUUUUAUGCAGGCCCUGGGGAAGGCGUCUGGAAAGCCAGCCUCACAGCUCAGAGAUGUCCACGCACAGCCUGCUAGUCAGACCAGCUUGCCUAGUUACCCACCAGAGCCUCCAGCUCUCUACUUCAGUGACGCCUUCCAGGUAACAGACAGACUGCUCCCGGCUAUGGAACUGCUCCCAGCAGACCGGUCCUGCUGCAGACUCGAGGCACCUGCUCAAAGGACUGGAGCGCUGCCCUGGGGCCCGCAACGCAGAGGGGAGCUUGCAGAGCUGAGUCUGCUUCCUCUACCAGCACUCUUGGGGGCUGGGCAGGGGCAGCUGCCCAGAGGCAGAGAACCCAGCAGAGCCGCAGGUCGCUGCGGGCGCCUCCGUGCCCUGUUGCCUCGUGCGCUUCUUGUCCCUGGGCCUGAGGACCUUCGUCUCCUGGGCCACAUGCUGGGAGGGACCCAGCCUUCCUACUUGCAGGGCUGUUGUUGGAGACCACAGCCUCUCCCUAACGGGGCAGAGCCGCCAUUGAUGGGGUGAUGGGCUAAAUAAUGCCACCCUGCCUCUGAUACAUCCAUGUCCUAAUCCCUGGAAACAUCACACAGCCAAAAAGGAUCUCAUAAUACGGAGAUGGUCCCAGAUUAUUUGGGAGGACCCUACACUCACUCACCUACUUCUCUGAGGAGGAAGAACCGACACAGAAGGCAGUGAACUGAUGCAGCCACAGCCAAGGACACCAGGAGCCUCCAGAAGCUGAAGAGGGCGAAAGGGCCUCCCAGAACCUCCGGAGGGUGUGCAGCCUGUGACACUUGAUUUCAGCUCAGUGAAGUGAUUUGGAUCUCUGACCUCUGAAAUUAUUAGACAAUAAGUUUCUAUAGUUUUAAGCCAUCAAGUUUGUGGUGACUUGUUGCAGUAGCCACAGGAAGUGAAUACAAAUGGGAAGGAAAGCAAAGGAUUCCAAGAAGAAAUGACUGGACCCAAGGCCUGACCCUGAUCUGCUGCCUUUCCGUGUUCUUGUGACCUGCUCCUGUCACCUGCACCUGGACACACAGGCUCUCCAUUGCUAGCAGUUAAGGUGGGCUCUGCAGCCCCUGCCCCUUCCUGGUGCCCACCACCCUGAAGCCCCCACAGGGAAAGGUCGGGAAGUGGGGCUGGAGUUGGGGAGAGAGGGUUUUCUGGAACAGAGCCACCGCCAUGGGCUCCAUUCGCAACAGGCACAGUUGAGCUUUGUGCUGGCGCCAAGGUCACCUCAGAUCCUGCAACCGGAAUGUUGCUGGGGCCCUGCCCUUCAGGGCACCUGCUCCCCAUCCCUGGGAGAGCAACAUGUGCAAAAGCCAAAGAGCCUUUGGCUGUAUUGAAUGACUUUUUAAAAUCAAGUGCAAAUAUCAUCAGGUGCUUUUUACAGAAGCAAGGACCUGUGCCUCUCAAAAUAAACACAUGCCAGUCACCCA
rnacentral:lncRNA from 1 species